AUUGAACGCUGGCGGCAGGCCUAACACAUGCAAGUCGAACGAGUGGCGGACGGGUGAGUAAUGUCUGGGAAACUGCCUGAUGGAGGGGGAUAGCUACUGGAAACGGUAGCUAAUACCGCAUACCAUCGGAUGUGCCCAGAUGGGAUUAGCUAGUAGGUGGGGUAAUGGCCUACCUAGGCGACGAUACAUAGCCGACCUGAGAGGGUGAUCGGCCACACUGGGACUGAGACACGGCCCAGACUCCUACGGGAGGCAGCAGUGGGGAAUAUUGCACAAUGGGCGCAAGCCUGAUGCAGCCAUGCCGCGUGAGUGAAGAAGGUUUUCGGGUUGUAAAGUACUUUCAGCGGGGAGGCGUUACCCGCAGAAGAAGCACCGGCUAACUCCGUGCCAGCAGCCGCGGUAAUUC
rnacentral:rRNA from 1 species